rnacentral:rRNA from 1 species
CGGCACGGGUGAGUAACACGUAUCCAACCUGCCGUCUACUCUUGGACAGCCUUCUGAAAGGAAGAUUAAUACAAGAUGGCAUCAUGAGUUCACAUGUUCACAUGAUUAAAGGUAUUUUCCGGUAGACGAUGGGGAUGCGUUCCAUUAGAUAGUAGGCGGGGUAACGGCCCACCUAGUCAACGAUGGAUAGGGGUUCUGAGGGGAAGGUCCCCCACAUUGGAACUGAGACACGGUCCAA